CCUACGGGAGGCAGCAGCGAGGAAUAUUGGUCAAUGGACGGAAGUCUGAACCAGCCAUGCCGCGUGCAGGAAGACGGCUCUAUGAGUUGUAAACUGCUUUUGUACAAGGGUAAACCUGAAUACGUGUAUUCAGCUGAAAGUACUGUACGAAUAAGGAUCGGCUAACUCCGUGCCAGCAGCCGCGGUAAUACGGAGGAUCCAAGCGUUAUCCGGAUUUAUUGGGUUUAAAGGGUGCGUAGGCGGAUUGGUAAGUUAGAGGUGAAAUGUCCGAGCUUAACUCGGGAACUGCCUCUAAUAAUGUUGGUCUAGAGAGUAGAUGCGGUAGGCGGAAUGUAUGGUGUAGCGGUGAAAUGCUUAGAGAUCAUACAGAACACCGAUUGCGAAGGCAGCUUACCAAUCUAUAUCUGACGUUGAGGCACGAAAGCGUGGGGAGCAAACAGGAUUAGAUACCCCAGUAGUC
rnacentral:rRNA from 1 species